UNUGGCUUAACUGGGGGCUUGCGGUGGNUACGGGCCGGCUUGAGUGCGGUAGGGGAGACUGGAACUCCUGGUGUAGCGGUGGAAUGCGCAGAUAUCAGGAAGAACACCGGUGGCGAAGGCGGGUCUCUGGGCCGUUACUGACGCUGAGGAGCGAAAGCGUGGGGAGCGAACAGGAUUAGAUACCCUGGUAGUCCACGCCGUAAACGUUGGGCACUAGGUGUGGGGGGCCUUUUCCGGNUCUUCCGCGCCGUAGCUAACGCAUUAAGUGCCCCGCCUGGGGAGUACGGCCGCAAGGCUAAAACUCAAAGGAAUUGACGGGGGCCCGCACAAGCGGCGGAGCAUGCGGAUUAAUUCGAUGCAACGCGAAGAACCUUACCAAGGCUUGACAUGUGCCGGUCUGCUCCGGAGACGGGGUUUCCUCCCUUGUGGGGGCUGGUUCACAGGUGGUGCAUGGUUGUCGUCAGCUCGUGUCGAGAGAUGUUGGGUUAAGUCCCGCAACGAGCGCAACCCUUGUCUCGUGUUGCCAGCACGUUGUGGUGGGGACUCGCGGGAGACUGCCGGGGUCAACUCGGAGGAAGGUGGGGAUGACGUCAAAUCAUCAUGCCCCUUAUGUCUUGGGCUUCACGCAUGCUACAAUGGCCGGUACAGAGGGCUGCGAUACCGUGAGGUGGAGCGAAUCCCUUAAAGCCGGUCUCAGUUCGGAUCGGUGU
rnacentral:rRNA from 1 species